rnacentral:rRNA from 1 species
UACGAAGGGGGCUAGCGUUGCUCGGAAUCACUGGGCGUAAAGCGCACGUAGGCGGAUCUUUAAGUCAGGGGUGAAAUCCCAAGGCUCAACCUUGGAACUGCCUUUGAUACUGGGGAUCUCGAGUCCGGAAGAGGUUGGUGGAACUGCGAGUGUAGAGGUGAAAUUCGUAGAUAUUCGCAAGAACACCAGUGGCGAAGGCGGCCAACUGGUCCGGUACUGGACGCUGAGGUGCGAAAAGCGUGGGGAGCAAACAGGG